GUAAGGAAUAUUGGUCAAUGGACGCAAGUCUGAACCAGCCAUGCCGCGUGAAGGAUGAAGGUCCUCUGGAUUGUAAACUUCUUUUAUAGGGGACGAAACCUCUUUUUCUAAAGAGACUGACGGUACCCUAGGAAUAAGCACCGGCUAACUCCGUGCCAGCAGCCGCGGUAAUACGGAGGGUGCAAGCGUUAUCCGGAUUCACUGGGUUUAAAGGGUGCGUAGGAGGGCAGGUAAGUCAGUGGUGAAAUCUCCAAGCUUAACUUGGAAACUGCCGUUGAUACUAUCUGUCUUGAAUACCGUGGAGGUGAGCGGAAUAUGUCAUGUAGCGGUGAAAUGCUUAGAUAUGACAUAGAACACCAAUUGCGAAGGCAGCUCACUACACGAAUAUUGACUCUGAGGCACGAAAGCGUGGGGAUCAAACAGGAUUAGAAACCCUAGUAGUCC
rnacentral:rRNA from 1 species